UACAGAGGGUGCGAGCGUUACUCGGAAUUACUGGGCGUAAAGCGCACGUAGGCGGAUCGAUCAGUCAGGGGUGAAAUCCCAGAGCUCAACUCUGGAACUGCCUUUGAUACUGUCGAUCUAGAGUAUGGAAGAGGUGAGUGGAAUUCCGAGUGUAGAGGUGAAAUUCGUAGAUAUUCGGAGGAACACCAGUGGCGAAGGCGGCUCACUGGUCCAUUACUGACGCUGAGGUGCGAAAGCGUGGGGAGCAAACAGG
rnacentral:rRNA from 1 species